rnacentral:rRNA from 1 species
CUGGCGGCGUGCCUAACACAUGCAAGUCAACUUGACUGAAGGAGCAAUCUGACAGUAGAGUGGCGCAAGGGUGCGUAACGCGUAAGUAACUUGCCCCAAGGUAAGGAAUAACGUCGAGAAAUCGGCGCUAAUACCUCAUAAUGCAGCGGAUCCGCAUGGAUAUGUUGUUAAAGGUUUACCGCCUUGGGAUAGGCUCGCGUCUGAUUAGUUAGUUGGUGUGGUAACGGCACACCAAGGCUACGAUCAGUAACUGGUCUGAGAGGAUGAUCAGUCACACUGGAACUGAGACACGGUCCAGACUCCUACGGGAGGCAGCAGUGAGGAAUAUUGGGCAAUGCUCGAAAGAGUGACCCAGCAACGCCGCGUGGAGGAUGAAGGUAUUCUAUAUCGUAAACUCCUGUGAGAGCAGACGAAAGACAGAUUAUUAAUCUGGAUGACUGUAUGCUCAGAGGAAGCCCCGGCUAACUACGUG